rnacentral:sRNA from 1 species
GCUCUAUGCUCCGCGGUCGCGGGCCGCCAGCCUCCAGCCGGCCAGCCGCGAGGGGCGCGCAGAGGGAGGCGGGGCGGAAAGGCGAGAGGUGUCUCCUCCACCGGAGCCAGGGGAGACCCGAGCAAGCUCCGUGACAGCACGUCGGCCGCCAUGUCGCCGAGUGGGGCUGGAAACAGACCCGGCGCCCAGCGGUAGCCCUCCUUGCGCCUCCGAUUCCCAGACAUGGAAGGUCUUUAAUGUAACUUUAAAUGGUUCACCAAAGGAUGCUCUAAUGGAUGACAGCGAUACUCCUACAUAUAAUCUGCAAAUAGAACCACAAGAUGGAUGUCAUCCUGGUGACAGCGUGGAAAGGAGUGUGACCUGCCUGCCUUCUGCAUCAGAUGAAAAUGAAAAUCAGCUUGACGGGGACGGGCAUGAGCAUCUGACCAGCAGUGACAGUGCGAUGGGAAAGCCCCAAGUGUCUGAGCAGGACAGUCUCAAUAAUAAUGAAAGCUGCACAUUGAGCUGCGAGGUGGCUGCAGGUGAGAACUCGCAAAACACCCUUUGUGAAGCCUCCAGAGAUGAACAGGCCUUCUUGGGAAAGGACAAAAGAAUACCUGGAAAAAGAAGUCCAAGAAGCAAAAAAGGGACUGCUAAGAAGAUACCACCAGGACUUUUUUCAGGAGAUACUGCACCUUUAAUGCAAGAAAAAGUACUAAGUGCAGUCACAUAUGCUGUUGGUGAUGAAGAAGCUGCUGAAGUAAAUGCUAAUGAGCAGCCAGAGGCGCCGAAGCUUGUUCUGCAGUCUCUGUUUUCACUUAUACGAGGUGAAGUUGAGCAGUUGGAUUCAAGAGCACUUCCCCUUUGCCUUCAUCAGAUAGCAGAAUCCUAUUUCCAGGAGGAGGACUAUGAGAAAGCAAUGAAAUUCAUUCAGCUAGAACGAUUGUAUCAUGAGCAAUUGCUCGCAAAUCUUUCUGCCAUUCAAGAACAGUGGGGUAAGUACAGACCAACAUGGAAUGUGGAAUUAGCAGUAAUCCAACAAGUCACUAUCUACAAAAUUAACAUAUUUGACCUGGUUUUAUAAAUCAGAAAAUAGAUGUUUCCAUAGACAAGUUAAUGUUGCAAAGAAAGUAGCAUUUUUACCACAAGUCUAUUAUAUUGUGAGAAGACUUUUUUCUUUGUAUUUUGCUCUUCAUAUCAAUGCCAAGAAAAGAAUACUUGCAACUAUUUGCAUUUUUCCUAAUCACAUUUCAUGCCCUACUGGCUAAUUUAGUCUCUAGGAUGAUAUUUACUUAUAUUGAAAAGUAAUAAGUUAGUUAUUUCUAACUGUUGGGUUGUUUGAAAAGAUAAUUUUGCAUGCAAAUCUAUAUGAGUGGUGCUACUUAACUGUUUUUUUGUUUGUUUUUUUGCUCCUAAAUAUGUUUUGUAAGAGCCAGUGACUAACAAAUACUUUAAAUUUAGAAACAAAAUGGAAAACUGUGCAACCACAUACAGUUACGGCUCUAAGGAAUUCAGAAAAGGGAUUUAAUGGUGAAGAUUUUGAACGGCUUACGAAAAUUUGUGCAACACAUCAAGAUCCUCUUUUAUCCAAACAUAAGAUAGCAGCUGUGGAGAAGUCCCAGGAAAGGAAAUGCUCGAUGCAGUUACUAGUGUCUGAAGAUCCAAAGGAAGGAGGAGCUACCACCAAAGAGUCAGAGAGUAAAACUUGUCUCGGCACAGAGUCAAGUAAAGAAAGCCAACAUACAGUGGAGCCCCUGGGGAGCAGUCCCUGCUGUCAUCAGAUGGACGUGCAAGCAGAUUCCCCAAGCCUUUCGGUAACUGCAGGAAAGGACCACAUGGAGGAGCUGCUCUGCAGCGCUGAAGCCACGUUAGCGCUCCACACCCAGUCCUCCGAGACAGCAGGGAGCCCGUCUGGGCCAGACUCUUCUGAGGAUGCUUGUGAGGAUGACAGUCGCUUGCAGCUGGCUCAAACAGAGGCCUGCCAGGAUGUGGCCAGAAUAGACGGCAUUGCUGAAGACCCUAAGGUGUUUCUUUCCAGCAAGUCAGAGACAGAGCCGUUGAUUUCACCAGGCUGUGACCGUAUACCUCCUGCGUUGAUUUCUGAGGGUAAAUAUUCACAGGCUCAGAGGAAAGAACUCCGUUUGCCACUUCGGGAUGCUUCUGAGGCGUUGCCCACAGACCAACUUGAGAACAAUGAAUUAAAUGAGCUGCAGCAGCCUGAUCUUACAGACAGUGAUGGAAAAUCACCACAGGCGCAGGCUGACUCAGACGGUUCUGAGAAUGUGCUCUGUGGAAAUAAUCAAAUAUCUGACUUAGGCAUACUGCUUCCAGAGGUGUGUAUGGCCCCAGAGGAAAAGGGAGAUAAAGAUGACCAACUCAACAAAGAAACAGAAGACUAUUUGAACAGCCUUUUAGAAGGCUGUUUAAAAGAUACUGAAGAUUCCCUUUCCUAUGAAGAUAACCAAGACGACGACUCCGAUCUCCUUCAAGAUCUCUCUCCUGAAGAAGCAUCCUAUAGUCUCCAGGAGAAUCUGCCUUCUGAUGAGAGCUGUCUUUCUCUUGAUGAUCUUGCCAAAAGGAUAGAGAUUGCAGAGGUAAAUCAGAGAUGAAGUACAAUUAAAAGUAAAAUGGCAUUUAAAAAACAUAUAUAUGUAUUAAAAAUUGCCUUGUUUUUGUAAGUUUUCCCUUGUCUCAAACAUGAGGGAAAAUUCUAGUUAACGUAAGCUUUUAAUUAUUAGUAGUUUUUACAUUUGUAUGUAUUGAAUAAAAUGACUUUUAAUCAUUGUAAUGUU